AGCGGACGUAUGGGUGCUCUUCCUUCUGGGUAUGGCCCUGCAGAGUCUGCUCUCUGCCAGACCCAGGGCUGCAGCCAAUCCCCUACUCUUCCUUGGUGCUGAUGGCUCCAGCCUGCCCAGCAGCACCAAGGGCUGUGCUCACAGGGGAACAGACACCUACAAAAAGAGACUCACAUUACCCAACAGCUCUCAUCACCCUGAUGGGCAGCUCUUUGGAACAUCACAUUUAUGUGAUCUCAUUAGGAGUUUGUCAUGAAGAGAGAGGGUCACACUUUAUAAACAAUGAAAGACACAAGAAUACCGCAAAACAGGCAUUCAAGGAAACGAUGGAACUGGAACCUCUUUUGAAUGGGGCUUCUGCCUCCUGCCAGAUGUGGACUCUGGGUGUAUCAUUGAACUGUCCAGGCUGCAGUUUUUCACCUAUAAAAAGUGGGUAGAAGUCUACCUUCGUUUACAGGAUAAUAUAUGUAAAAUAUUAUACGUAGACAUUACGUAUAAGCAUGUAAAUGUUAUAGGCUA
rnacentral:lncRNA from 10 species